rnacentral:rRNA from 1 species
UACGUAGGGUGCGAGCGUUGUCCGGAAUUACUGGGCGUAAAGCGCGUGUAGGCGGCUCGGUAAGUCUGGUGUGAAAUCCAGGGGCUCAACCCCUGGCGGUCACUGGAUACUGUCGGGCUAGAGUCCGGAAGAGGAGAGUGGAAUUCCUGGUGUAGCGGUGGAAUGCGCAGAUAUCAGGAGGAACACCAAUGGCGAAGGCAGCUCUCUGGUACGUGACUGACGCUGAGACGCGAAAAGCGUGGGGAGCGAACAGG